AACCCAGCAAGAAACCUUAAACAAUGUUAGAAAUAACAAUUUAACUAGAGUCUAUAGAUUUGACUAAUUAGGUGCCAGCAGUCGCGGUCACACCUGAGAAUCAAGCUAUCUGCAUCAAGCUGGCUUAACUAUUAAAUCUUAUAAUAAGGUAAAAUUUUUAUAAAGACUAAAAACUAAGAACUCACCAAGCCUAAACUCCAAAGAUAAACCAGGAUUAGAUACCCUGUUAUAUAGAACCAAAAUCGUAAGCUUAAGCACUAAGACUUUACAGUUAAAACUUAAAUGACAUGGCGGCAGCUUCAAAUUUCAGGGGAACUUACCAGAUAAAUGAUAACCCGCAAAGUACCCUACUUCUUCUAAAAGUUUGUAUAUCGCCGUCUUCAGAACCCAUCUGAGAUGAGUUCAAAAUGUUUGUUAAACAAAAAGACAGGUCAAGAUGCAACCAAUGAAGGAGUCUUGAGGUGAGUUACAAUGAUACUUAAUCUUAGAAUUUAAGUGAAACCAGAAAGGAAACCGGACUUGAAAGUAAAUUUUAUUACACAUAGAAAUUGAAUAUUCAAAAAGCUGUGCACAAAUCGCCCGUCACUCUCGUUGAAAAAGGAGGUAAGUCGUAACAUAGUAAGUGUACCGGAAGGUGCACUU
rnacentral:rRNA from 1 species